AGAUUUACACAGAAUCAUCACACUAAGCUUUAUGUUGAUAAGACAUACAAAGUUUACACCGGAUUGGCACUUUGGCAUCUGGAAGUCAAAGUGGAGAAACUUCAAUGCAGAAAUGUUGUCUGAUGUCGCUGCGUCUGUGGGGUUAUCGUCAAGGACGGGCCACAACAUCCCCCAGCUUGUGGGGGACUCUUCCAAUCCUGCUGUUAUCUAAGACAGGAAGGAUUGCCUUACGACAUUGUUUCACCACAUAAAGAAUGUCACCAAAUUUCAUCAAUUUCCAUGUGUCAGCGGAGCAUCCCGGUGUUGUGGAAUGCAGGGAAUUGAGUGAAUCACCAGUAGUCAGAAUCACUCUCAGGAAGGUCUCGAAAGUGAAUGUUAAUGUGAGCUGUGACAACCUGCCAUAAGAAAUGUUUGCGAAAGGGCUUGAUCUGGACCAUCAGUGGUAUUUAUUUGAAAAAAUUCGUGAAUUCUGUCGCAUAGAUGAACCAAAAACUUGACAUGUCCGAAACGCGCUACUGGUGAGCAACAAAAAACAGACUGUGCCCCCCCAAAAAAGAAGAUGCAUUAAGAUGCGCAUCUGAUCUUCUCUGAUGGUGCCACAACAAUUACAUACAUCAUGUAUCAGUGUUUAUUUUGGCCAAGGUAUUGGGUGAUAUAUUUUCCCACAAACAAUGCAAACAAUCCUCUAUUCCUAGGAAAGCUAAAACAUGUAUAUGAUUGCUAAAUGUGUCAGUUGAUACAGGUUUUGAAAUGUUCAAUGCAAACUUUUGUUGUUUUAAUUGCACAAGCUUGUUUUCAAGUUUUUUAUAUCUCAUAUUUACAAAACAAAAAUCAUUUGUUCCAUGUAGAUCUAACCAUGCAAUUGUUUUCACCUUAUGGACACAGACUGCCUAUCAGAAAAACUGGAAAAAAAUCAGUGUGAAUAUUGUAUUUAUUUAUGUUUUACAAUGAAAAUCCUAUAUUUU